CUUGAUCCAAGCCUCCUUUUCUUCCUCUUUCUCGAUGUCUCCACUGUGCUGUGAGUAAUGCAAAGAAGCCAAAACCUCUCACACUCUGCUUUGCAAUAAGGUUGGCAUACAAAUGCUUUCUUCAACCUUAGCUCGGCGCCUAAAUCCCACUCAAAUCCUCCUUAAUUUCACUGCUCGCUCUCUGUUAACAAAGCCCACUUCAUAUUUCCCGUCCGCAACUCCAGAAUCCCAACUAAACCUUCAAAAUUUCGAUCCCAGCACCGUUAUCGAAACCCUCUCAUGCUACAGCAACGACUGGAAACGUGCCUUGGAUUUUUUCAACUGGGUCGAAACCGAAUGCGAAUUUAAACACACUACAGACACGUACAAUCGCAUGAUUGACAUUUUGGGUAAGUUCUUCGAAUUCGAUCUCUCAUGGGACUUGAUUCUAAGAAUGAGAACGGUUCCUUGUUCAAUGCCCAAUCAUGUCACUUUCCGUAUAUUGUUUAAGCGCUAUAUAUCUGCCCAUCUCGUUACAGAAGCUAUAAAUACGUUUGAUAGAUUAGAGGAAUUCAAUUUGAAAGAUGGAACAUCAUAUUGUAAUCUUAUUGAUGCUCUUUGUGAGUUUAAACAUGUUAUAGAAGCACAAGAAUUGUGCUUUAGAAAGAACAUGGAAGAAAAUAAUGCAAUAGAUGCUAGGAAUAAAACGAAAAUUUAUAAUAUGAUUUUACGCGGUUGGUUUAAGAUGGAGUGGUGGAGUAAGUGCAGGGAGUUUUGGGAGGAGAUGGAUAGAAAAGGAGUGUAUAAAGAUUUGUAUUCCCAUUCGAUAUAUAUGGAUAUACUGUGCAAAAGUGGAAAGCCUUGGAAGGCAGUGAAAUUGUAUAAGGAGAUGAAGACAAAGGGAAUAAAGCUAGAUGUUGUGGCAUAUAAUACAGUUAUUCGUGCAGUUGGUCUAUCACGGGGUGUGGAUUUUGCAACGAGGGUGUAUCGUGAAAUGAUUGAGUUGGGUUGUAUGCCAAAUGUCGUGACUUGUAAUACUAUUAUAAAGCUUUUGUGCCAAAAUGGGAGGACAAUGGAAGCAUAUAAAAUGCUUGAUGAAAUGCUCAAGAAAGAUAUUGUACCGGAUGUGAUUACAUAUCAUUGUUUUUUUCGUUGUCUUGUGAAGCCCAAUGAGAUUCUCUGGCUGUUUGACUGGAUGAUUGAGAGUGGGGUUUGGCCAAGGAUGGACACUUAUGUGAUGCUUAUGAGGAAGUUUGGGAGAUGGGGAUUUCUCCGACCAGUUUUUGUAGUGUGGAAGAAGAUGGAAGAACAUGCUUGUAGUCCGGAUGAAUUUGCUUACAAUGCAUUGAUUGAUGCUUUGAUUCAAAAGGGUAUGUUGGACAUGGCUAGGAAAUAUGAGCAGGAGAUGCUGUCGAAAGGUCUUUCUCCUAAGCCCAGGGAAGACUUAAGCACAAAGGAUGUGGAGGGAGGAUAACUUUUCAAACGCAUAUGCAGAAUCAUCCUUCGCGGAAGAGUUUGCUGCAAUAGAGGUCUCAAAAUGGAUUGCUUGCUUUCCAGUUAGAACCAGGGGCUGGCAUGAUCUAUUGUUAUGCUCUUGGACUUCUUGCUGCAGACAAGUAUGGUGGAGAUGGCACGGCUUUCUGGAAAUAUCCCGGCUGGAGUGCAGUUCUCUACCUGAUUUUGUUCUAGGUUUUGAGCUGUGAUGUGUUCUGAAGUAUCUUCACUUCCUUAUCACAACAUUUGACUUGCACUUAUUAUAUCCCUAUAACAUGAUGCUGUCAAUUGUUGCAUUUAGCUGGCAAAGAACAAGGUGGUGGAUUUCAGGCUUUCAGCUGAGGAGGCAAUGGUAUUGAAGAAGCAAAAUAUGGUUUUUACUGAUGUUCAUAUCCAUCCUGCUUGGAUUAAUUUCACUCCUUUUCUCUUUCACCUAUUUUAUACCUGAGGAAUUUGUCAUGGGUACAAGUGGCCUCAACUGGAAAUAAUAAUAUCUGGCCUUUGUGGAAUUCAAGAGUCUAAAUUUGGUAGACUGAUAUGAUAUUGAUGUUUGAAUUCGGAAGUGCAAAGUUAAUCAACACUUAGCAGUUCCCUGAAACUGCUGGUGCUAUUUCCUCUAUCAGGGUUUGAUUCUGAUGUUGGUUGACUCAGUGAAUCAUUACAACCCGAUGCAGAGAUAGAUAAUGAAGUAGAACCCAUGUAGUGUUGAGAAGCUCAAAUACAUUUUCAUCCCCAAUACUAUCUUCAUUCAACUUGCGCCAUGGAGCAGUGAAUUCAGCGGCAUCUAUAUCACGAAGAGCUUCAAAUGUUACUGGCUUAGAUAUCUUCUCAGUUCACUCUACUUGCAGAGAACAAACACCAAGGGCUUCUCCUUUUGAGUUUUUAAUUCAUCAACUUGAAGCAGCAGUAGUUUCGGUUAGCUAUUUUUCAUAUCUUGUUUGAAAAAUGUCUGUUUUGAUGCUUGCAACCAUUUAAUUAGUUCUGAAUUUAUUGAUUAUUUGACCUAUUUGGCAAAAUUACAAUACAAGGGUAUGCCAGAUGUGAU
rnacentral:misc_RNA from 1 species